rnacentral:rRNA from 1 species
UUUUAUGGAGAGUUUGAUCCUGGCUCAGGAUGAACGCUGGCGGCGUGCCUAAUACAUGCAAGUCGAGCGAACGGACGAGAAGCUUGCUUCUCUGAUGUUAGCGGCGGACGGGUGAGUAACACGUGGAUAACCUACCUAUAAGACUGGGAUAACUUCGGGAAACCGGAGCUAAUACCGGAUAAUAUUUUGAACCGCAUGGUUCAAAAGUGAAAGACGGUCUUGCUGUCACUUAUAGAUGGAUCCGCGCUGCAUUAGCUAGUUGGUAAGGUAACGGCUUACCAAGGCAACGAUGCAUAGCCGACCUGAGAGGGUGAUCGGCCACACUGGAACUGAGACACGGUCCAGACUCCUAC